rnacentral:rRNA from 1 species
AACCAUGGGGUUAAGUUGUAAAUUUACGGUAAAAAGACAGUUAGGCUAAAAGAUAAGUUUAAUUAAUCGUACUAUUAAGGGGUAGAAUCCAAAUAUAGACAGAUAUACUAAUCAAAACUUAAAAGCUGAGGCUGUGAUAACUCUGAGGGAAACUAGGAUUAGAUACCCUAUUAUUCAUAGAUGUAAAUAUGAAAAUUCUACCUGAGUACUAAGAACAAAAAAUUUAAAACUCAAAGGGCUUGGCGGUGUUUUAGACUACUUAGGGGAACCUGUCUCAUAAUCGACAAUCCGCGUCACACCUAACCUCUUUUUGCACUUCAGUUUGUAUACCGUCGUCGCCAGGUAACUUUUAAAAUACAAACAGUUAGCUAAAUGAAUAAUUAAAUUAGGACGUCAGAUCAAGGUGCAGCCAAUAAAGAGGGGUAGAUGGGUUACAAUUAUUUUAAUCAUAACUACGGAUAAUAGCUUUAAAGAGCUAUUGAUAAGGAGGACUUAAAAGUAAAAUAAAUUAUAUAGAC